rnacentral:lncRNA from 1 species
GUCCUACUUAUUUUUGAGCCUGUUGGCAUUCGAUUAAAUCGAAUCGGGUAUGCCCAUAAGCGGGUUCGAUCCGACGGAUAUUAUGUUAUCUAAUUGGAUUAGAAUUAAUCUCGCUUUCAAAUUGGAAAGCUAGUUAGAGAUAAAUCCUAGUCAUAUUAUGAUAACAAUUAAUAACCGAUUUGGCCUUAUCUCUAACGCUAUUAGGAUUUUGAAAUCCCUUAUAAAUAUGCGGGCAAUCCCACAUAACAAUAGGUACAAGAACGGAAAAAGAAAAGAGAAUAAGAAAACGAAAAAGAGAAACCACAUCCUCCAUCAACCUAUUAUUCUAAGAGGGACUUGAACGGUGGAUUUGUGAUCAUGCUCGUUUGUAGUUCGAUCCAUCGCGAGUUUGGAACGUGAGAAGAUGUAAUCAAGGACGAUCAAAGGACACGUGAAUCAACCUCGACGAUCCGAGCUCAUCGAGUUGUAACGCGAAUCGCUUCCGCAAAAGGUA